rnacentral:lncRNA from 12 species
AAAAGAAUCAGAAUCAUAUCUCCUCCCACCCAGCAUGGCAGGGAAGAUUGGGUGCCAGAAAGUAGCACCCAGUGUGGGGUGUGAGGCAGGAAAAUAUCAGUUUUCCUUCCAUCUUGUAGAUUGAAAAAGAAAAAAAAAUCCUGGUGUUAUUUUAUUCAGUCUGGUCAAGUGAUUUAAAGAACUGACCAUCCCCCUCCCCCCAAAAAAACCAAGACAAAGCAAAUUAUAUACCAUGAGCACCAAUUUCUGUACUAGGAGCAGAGGGAGGGUGAUUGGCUCAAAGUAUAGUCAAAAAGAAGGGAGAAAGGUGUUCUAGUUUCAGUGACAUUUCAAUAAGUAAAUCAUCUGCUUUAAGUGGGGGGAAAAAAAACAAAAGACCUCAGUGGAUAGUGGUUAGCCAAUGUGAUUAUAGCUUACCUCCAAGGUUUCUUUGUGACUAAGAGCAUAGUUGAUUUAAGGGGAUUAGUUUAUGAGAAACUAAUGUCCUAAUUCUGUGGGCAUUCAGCGAAAAUGAAAUACUAAACUUUAAAUCAUGACCUGUAAUUAUCUUCCACCUCAUAGAUUGAUCUGUGAGUUGCAAGAGAGACACAGACUUCAUUUCAUUAGGGUUGCAGUAAAGCUGGGAGUCCUACACACAUUAGAUCCCAUUCUCCUUUCCAUGAAGACUUCAGGAAGUCAGGAGAAGCUGGAGGGAAGAAGAUUUGUAGUAAAACCAUCUGGGUUUGAAACUCAGCCCCAGUACUGACUUAAUGUCUGGGUGACCCGAGUAAAUCAUUUACUGCUCUGUUUCUUCAUUUGUAAAAUGAGGGUAAGAGUAAUACCUCCCACAGUUCUUUUAGGGCUCCAAUGAGGGAAGGGAUGUCCAAGUUCUGAGCUUCAAGUGGUGACCACCCUGAGGAAUUUCGAGCCCACUCUCUGUCUUGGGGCCCAGAGCACUCUGAAGUUGACUGUAUUUGGGAACCAGAUGCCAAAUCAGACACACCGGAAUUUAAGAUCAUCGCAGAGAUGCUCCAUGGAAUACUAUUUGUGCUUUGGCAGAAAAUACUUCAUCAUUUACUUCAGUCAUGAGAAUAAAGCAAAAAAUCUGGAACAUAAACACCAUUUUUUCUUCGCAUUCAAAGGCCGGGCUCAGGGUGAGUUUGUGAAUAAUAAACCAAAGUUGGCAAUCAAGCUAAUAAGUAUGAAGUUGCCGGGGAGAGAAGUCCUGCAGGGGCCUGGAGCUGAGGGGGUGCCCGGGGCUUUUGUCCUCUUGUUGGUAAAUAACAGCCCUUUAUUUACAUACAGUUGUUUCGGUUUCAAAAGAUAUUCAAAGCCCGGGUAGUUUCUGCAGUUGAUUUGCAUGGAGAGGGAUAUAUCUGUGAAUUUUUAAAGAGAUUUUGCCCUGGAGAGUUGUAGGCCAGCGGGCAGGCCGAGGUUGCCAGGGGGGAAGGAGGCGCGCAUGAUUAGCAGGCGGGCCAGGCAGUGAACAGGCACUUGCUUGCUGAACGCAGAAUUACCCCAGUGGGUGUGCAAGGAGGUCCCAGGGCCAGGCGCCUUUUGGGUCAAGAAGAGAACUUGGACUUGUAUUUCCUCUCAACUAGGGAAAGCAUCUGAUGCAGAGAAUCUCCACUGAAACUCUCCAGACUUGCAACAUUUUUCCAUUUGAAGCUUGUAGCCAUAAAAACCUCUGGUAAUGAGUUCCCUGCCCCCUACAGAAGUCCUGCAUCCAAUUUGUACGCCAUCAUGGUGAAAUGGUUUACAAGACUGAGAGCAAAAACUCUAAAGGAAUGCCCCGGAGAAGGAAUGAAGUGCUAUCGUUGAGAUCUUUAUUUAUGGGAAGAGAAAGAGCUAAAACAUUACCUCAGAACACAAGAUUACAGCAUCAGGCGGAUGGAAGGUAAAUCUAUUCUAGCGGUGAAACAUCAGAAACCCAUAAUCCUUUCUCAAAGCCCUUUUGUUAUUUUAAUGUCCUACAAAUUAUGCCUCUUUUUUUUUUUUUAAGAAGAGAAACACUUAGAUUUGAGAGGUUUCUUUUGCUCCAGUACAAGUAAUUUCACUGGUUAAAAAAGUUUUAAUUUUCUGAACCCAGUCUUUACUGUGCUGGCCAAGCCUAUGCACAAGGCUAAGAUAAUUUUUAGCUUCAAUAGAAUUGGGUACAGUGACCACCAAGAUCGGCUUCAAGUUGCUAUAGCAACGAUAGUCCUAAAAAGGACUUUAGUUACGCCAGGCAUUUGGGGUUGCUAAUCUGAAACUUUUGCCAUUAUAGUUUUUUUUUUUUUUUAAGUGGAUGAGUGUGGACGAGUAAAUUGCCAUACUUACUAUAUUGUCUUUGCUCCUGAUGU